rnacentral:rRNA from 1 species
GGUUAAGCGACUAAGCGUACACGGUGGAUGCCCUGGCAGUCAGAGGCGAUGAAGGACGUGCUAAUCUGCGAAAAGCGUCGGUAAGGUGAUAUGAACCGUUAUAACCGGCGAUGUCCGAAUGGGGAAACCCAGUGCAAUUCGUUGCACUAUCGUUAACUGAAUACAUAGGUUAACGAGGCGAACCGGGGGAACUGAAACAUCUAAGUACCCCGAGGAAAAGAAAUCAACCGAGAUUCCCCCAGUAGCGGCGAGCGAACGGGGAGCAGCCCAGAGUCUGAAUCAGCUUGUGUGUUAGUGGAACGGUCUGGAAAGUCCGACGGUACAGGGUGAUAGUCCCGUACACCAAAAUGCACAGGUUGUGAACUCGAAGAGUAGGGCGGGACACGUGGUAUCCUGUCUGAAUAUGGGGGGACCAUCCUCCAAGGCUAAAUACUCCUGACUGACCGAUAGUGAACCAGUACCGUGAGGGAAAGGCGAAAAGAACCCCGGCGAGGGGAGUGAAAAAGAACCUGAAACCGUGUACGUACAAGCAGUGGGAGCACCUUCGGGUGUGACUGCGUACCUUUUGUAUAAUGGGUCAGCGACUUAUAUUCUGUAGCAAGGUUAACCGUAUAGGGGAGCCGCAGGGAAACCGAGUCUUAACUGGGCGUUAAGUUGCAGGGUAUAGACCCGAAACCCGGUGAUCUAGCCAUGGGCAGGUUGAAGGUUGGGUAACACUAACUGGAGGACCGAACCGACUAAUGUUGAAAAAUUAGCGGAUGACUUGUGGCUGGGGGUGAAAGGCCAAUCAAACCGGGAGAUAGCUGGUUCUCCCCGAAAGCUAUUUAGGUAGCGCCUCGUGAACUCAUCUUCGGGGGUAGAGCACUGUUUCGGCUAGGGGGUCAUCCCGACUUACCAACCCGAUGCAAACUACGAAUACCGAAGAAUGUUAUCACGGGAGACACACGGCGGGUGCUAACGUCCGUCGUGAAGAGGGAAACAACCCAGACCGCCAGCUAAGGUCCCAAAGUCAUGGUUAAGUGGGAAACGAUGUGGGAAGGCACAGACAGCCAGGAUGUUGGCUUAGAAGCAGCCAUCAUUUAAAGAAAGCGUAAUAGCUCACUGGUCGAGUCGGCCUGCGCGGAAGAUGUAACGGGGCUAAACCAUGCACCGAAGCUGCGGCAGCGACACGAUGUGUUGUUGGGUAGGGGAGCGUUCUGUAAGCCUGCGAAGGUGACCUGUGAGGGUUGCUGGAGGUAUCAGAAGUGCGAAUGCUGACAUAAGUAACGAUAAAGCGGGUGAAAAGCCCGCUCGCCGGAAGACCAAGGGUUCCUGUCCAACGUUAAUCGGGGCAGGGUGAGUCGACCCCUAAGGCGAGGCCGAAAGGCGUAGUCGAUGGGAAACAGGUUAAUAUUCCUGUACUUGGUGUUACUGCGAAGGGGGGACGGAGAAGGCUAUGUUAGCCGGGCGACGGUUGUCCCGGUUUAAGCAUGUAGGCUGGUUGUCCAGGCAAAUCCGGAUAAUCAAGGCUGAGGUGUGAUGACGAGGCACUACGGUGCUGAAGUAACAAAUGCCCUGCUUCCAGGAAAAGCCUCUAAGCAUCAGGUAACAUCAAAUCGUACCCCAAACCGACACAGGUGGUCAGGUAGAGAAUACCAAGGCGCUUGAGAGAACUCGGGUGAAGGAACUAGGCAAAAUGGUGCCGUAACUUCGGGAGAAGGCACGCUGGUGUGUAGGUGAAGUCCCUGCGGAUGGAGCUGAGACCAGUCGAAGAUACCAGCUGGCUGCAACUGUUUAUUAAAAACACAGCACUGUGCAAACACGAAAGUGGACGUAUACGGUGUGACGCCUGCCCGGUGCCGGAAGGUUAAUUGAUGGGGUUAUCCGUAAGGAGAAGCUCUUGAUCGAAGCCCCGGUAAACGGCGGCCGUAACUAUAACGGUCCUAAGGUAGCGAAAUUCCUUGUCGGGUAAGUUCCGACCUGCACGAAUGGCGUAAUGAUGGCCAGGCUGUCUCCACCCGAGACUCAGUGAAAUUGAACUCGCUGUGAAGAUGCAGUGUACCCGCGGCAAGACGGAAAGACCCCGUGAACCUUUACUAUAGCUUGACACUGAACAUUGAGCCUUGAUGUGUAGGAUAGGUGGGAGGCUUUGAAGCGUGGACGCCAGUCUGCGUGGAGCCAACCUUGAAAUACCACCCUUUAAUGUUUGAUGUUCUAACGUUGGCCCCUGACCGGGGUUGCGGACAGUGUCUGGUGGGUAGUUUGACUGGGGCGGUCUCCUCCCAAAGCGUAACGGAGGAGCACGAAGGUUAGCUAAUCCUGGUCGGACAUCAGGAGGUUAGUGCAAUGGCAUAAGCUAGCUUGACUGCGAGCGUGACGGCGCGAGCAGGUGCGAAAGCAGGUCAUAGUGAUCCGGUGGUUCUGAAUGGAAGGGCCAUCGCUCAACGGAUAAAAGGUACUCCGGGGAUAACAGGCUGAUACCGCCCAAGAGUUCAUAUCGACGGCGGUGUUUGGCACCUCGAUGUCGGCUCAUCACAUCCUGGGGCUGAAGUAGGUCCCAAGGGUAUGGCUGUUCGCCAUUUAAAGUGGUACGCGAGCUGGGUUUAGAACGUCGUGAGACAGUUCGGUCCCUAUCUGCCGUGGGCGCUGGAGAAUUGAGGGGGGCUGCUCCUAGUACGAGAGGACCGGAGUGGACGCAUCACUGGUGUUCGGGUUGUCAUGCCAAUGGCACUGCCCGGUAGCUAAAUGCGGAAGAGAUAAGUGCUGAAAGCAUCUAAGCACGAAACUUGCCCCGAGAUGAGUUCUCCCUGAGACUUUAAGUCUCCUGAAGGAACGUUAAAGACGAUGACGUUGAUAGGCCGGGUGUGUAAGCGCAGCGAUGCGUUGAGCUAACCGGUACUAAUGAACCGUGAGGCUUAACCUU